rnacentral:rRNA from 1 species
GGAAAGCAAUUAGGGCGCAUAGCGGAUGCCUAGGCUUCUGGAGGCGAUGAAGGACGUGGCAAGCCACGAUAGUCAUGGGGGAGGCGCAAGCGGCCUUUGAUCCCAU